rnacentral:rRNA from 1 species
GACGAACGCUGGCGGCGUGCUUAACACAUGCAAGUCGAACGGAAAGGCCCUGCUUUUGUGGGGUGCUCGAGUGGCGAACGGGUGAGUAACACGUGAGUCACCUGCCCUUGACUUUGGGAUAACUUCAGGGAACUGGGGCUAAUACCGGAUAGGAGCUCCUGCUGCAUGGUGGGGGUUGGAAAGUUUCGGCGGUUGGGGAUGGACUCGCGGCUUAUCAGCUUGUUGGUGGGGUAGUGGCUUACCAAGGCUUUGACGGGUAGCCGGCCUGAGAGGGUGACCGGCCACAUUGGGACUGAGAUACGGCCCAGACUCCUACGGGAGGCAGCAGUGGGGAAUAUUGCACAAUGGGCGGAAGCCUGAUGCAGCAACGCCGCGUGCGGGAUGACGGCCUUCGGGUUGUAAACCGCUUUCGCCUGUGACGAAGCGUGAGUGACGGUAAUGGGUAAAGAAGCACCGGCUAACUACGUG